AAACAAACGGCUGCAGUUAACUGCUCCGCUCCCUGACAGGAUUUUUCAUUCAUUCGUGCCAAUGAAACAGGAGGCCUCGAUUCGUGCAGAAGAUAAGGUUUGAAACCCAGACAGCACGAAGCAUCUUGCCGACGUCAAAAUCAGAUCAACAGACUGGGACAUCAGCCUUCUCUUGGGAAUAGGCCAGAUAUGCCAUAACAAGAAAUGGUGUUUUGCCCCUGCGGUUGUGAAGAGGAUGCUGUGGAGGUGGCAGCAUGAACGUGUCACACAGACAUUGGCUAAACUACUCGG